rnacentral:rRNA from 1 species
UAUCUCUGUAGAGUCUGCAUAUCAAUAAGCGGAGGAAAAGAAACUAACAAGGAUUCCCCUAGUAACGGCGAGUGAAGCGGGAAGAGCUCAAAUUUGAAAUCUUCAAGGUUUGACCUUGACGAAUUGUAGUUUAAAGAAGUGUUUUCGGUUAGAGGAGUAGUAAAAGUUCUUUGGAAUAGGACAUCAUAGAGGGUGAGAAUCCCGUAUUUGACUAUUCUUUCUAGCUUUGUGAUACACUUUCAAAGAGUCGGAUUGUUUGGGAAUGCAGUCCAAAAUGGGUGGUAAAUUUCAUCUAAAGCUAAAUAUUGGCGAGAGACCGAUAGCGAACAAGUACCGUGAGGGAAAGAUGAAAAGAACUUUGAAAAGAGAGUUAAACAGUACGUGAAAUUGUCAAAAGGGAAGCGUUUGACACCAGUGUUGUUUUUCCGAAAAUCGAUUAAAAAUUGAUUCAUGCCAGGUUGUAUUGACCUUAUCAGCUUGCAAUUUGGUUUUGGGUCUCUUUUUGAUGCACUUUUCGGUUAACAAGUCAACAUCAAUUUCCUUUGCUGUAAAAAGGUAAGAGGAAGGUGGCUUCAAUUUCGGUUGAAGUGUUUAUAGCCUUUUAUCUCUGCAGUCGGGGAGAUUGAGGUCUGCAGCGUAGAUCCUUCGGGGCUAGAUACAUUUAUGCUAAGUUAUAGCUUUUCAUAGACAACUUGUUGACUAUGUUUAGUCAUGUAGCUUACUCGUAAGUGCUAUUUUACCUACGCUUAGGAUGUUGAGCGCAUGUCUCUCUCU